rnacentral:lncRNA from 1 species
CUUUUUUCAUCAGAGUUUUAUUGGUGCAGAUGUGGAAGGCUUCCUGUGUACGCUCUGGGACAGGAUCCACACAUCCUGGCCUUCUGCACAUGUCUUUUGACCACUGAGCAGAUCCCUAUUUCAGGGGUGUGGCAGCAGCUACCUUGAGCAUGCAAGCACUUUGCACGGUUUGUGCUGUGCCUGGCACGGAGCUUGCCUCUUGAAGAAACAGUUGUGGGUGAAAUUUUGAGGCUGCUAUUUUGGCAGUGGCUGCAAUAGUACUGGCAGGACAGCUAGAAUGUGAGGUGGCUAUGUCUUUGCCCUUUCUUACAGGGCUUAACUCUGUAGAUGGAGACAAACGAGGGACACCAAGAGCCAAUGCCAGAGGGAAAUCCCUGAUCCGAACCUGUGGAUGGAUUAGAAGAGCUCAGGGGCUGAAAAGCAGGACUUUGGGCAGAUCAUCCUUGCUUGCUCCUGCAAGGGAAGGUCACGUCUGAGGCAGCGGGAACAACAUGCCGAGCUCAGAGUCCAUCACGGGCAGGUGGCAGAGGCCAGGUAUCGAUCGCAGUAUGAGAUGGAGAGCAAUGUCACGGCUGCGCGGCGUGAGAGGCUUUCUGGUCACUCUGCUCUAUGCAGCAGCUAAAAAGUAACUAUUGACUGUUUCCCCAGGAGGCCAAGAAAAUACUGUGCACUUAACAAGGUGGAGUCCAUGGCUUGCUGUGAAGGCACCUUAUGUACCCAUUUGGAAACCGUAUACUGUUGGGAGGAAGGGAUUUAAAUUUUAAUUACACCUGGCACAGACACAGGUUGGAGUUUGGGCUUUUAACAGAGGUUUUUAGAUGAUGGUUUUAGUGCAGAGACACCGGAGCAGAAAUGAUUUUGCUGACCUGUGCAAAGGGAUGCAGCUCUGAAGGUUUUAACUUCAUCACUGAGCAUAAAGCAUUCUCUUUGCGUAUGUUAUGUUUGGGGGUUGUUUUUCAUUAAAAUGUCGAUGUGGGUGGAAAAAUCCAGAUCUUCCCAGGUGCCAGUCUCUGAUCCUCAGCAUUAGAGGUACCUGCGUUUCUCAGAGGUACCUGUUAGAGGGUAAAAGACUCCAGAAAAUGUCAGGCUGAGCCCACGGGUCUUUUAACUGAUAGUUACUGCUAUGUGGAAACCCUGGGAGAAAAGCAGCUUUGAAUCCUUGCUGGCUUCCCGGGUUUGUGCCUCGACUGGUGGACACGGGCAGGCUGGGAGCUGGCUGCACAGUGG